rnacentral:rRNA from 1 species
AUGGUAGGAUAGAGGCCUACCAUGGUGGUAACGGGUAACGGGGUGUUAGGGCACGACACCGGAGAGGGAGCCUGAGAAACGGCUACCACAUCCAAGGAUGGCAGCAGGCGCGCAAAUUACCCAAUCCCGACACGGGGAGGUAGUGACAAUAAAUAACAAUACGGGGUUCUUUAGGAUCUCGUAAUUGGAAUGAGUACAAUUUAAAUCUCUUAACGAGGAACAAUUGGAGGGCAAGUCUGGUGCCAGCAGCCGCGGUAAUUCCAGCUCCAAUAGCGUAUAUUAAAGUUGUUGCAGUUAAAAAGCUCGUAGUUGAAUUUCGGGGUUAGUAGGUUGGUCAUGCCUCUGGUAUGUACUGAUCUCACUGAUUCCUCCUUCCUUAUGAACCGUAAUGCCAUUAAUUUGGUGUUGCGGGGAAUUUGGACUGUUACUUUGAAAAAAUUAGAGUGUUUAAAGCAGGCUAACGCUUGAAUACAUUAGCAUGGAAUAAUGAAAUAGGACGUUCGACCUUAUUUUGUUGGUUUCUAGGAUUGACGUAAUGAUUAAUAGGGAUAGUUGGGGGCAUUAGUAUUCAAUUGUCAGAGGUGAAAUUCUUGGAUUUAUUGAAGACUAACUACUGCGAAAGCAUUUGCCAAGGAUGUUUUCAUUAAUCAAGAACGAAAGUUAGGGGAUCGAAGACGAUCAGAUACCGUCGUAGUCUUAACCAUAAACUAUGCCGACUAGGGAUCGGAU